rnacentral:misc_RNA from 1 species
GUUGGAUUUUUCGUGCAUCGACGCCCGCGUGCCCGCGUUGCUCGUGCAUUGUGUGUGACCUCCGAAGUCUACCUGAGACUGACACCACUCUCACAGUCGUUGUAAACUUUGGCCAUGGAUCACGCUGAUAUCGACUUGACAUUCAGCUGCCCGGUCUGCCUGGAACCGCGUCAGAGCAUGGUUUUCGGCCGAUGCCAGCACUUUGUGUGCGCGUCAUGCUUAUACGAACCCGUCAGCGGAUGUUUGAAGGCUGCUUUUCAUUGUUGUCCUUUGUGCCUAGCAGAGAAAGCAUUCCCAGACUCCUGCCCGGAGAUUCGAGAAACGACUAAACGGAUGAUGAAGCUUGUUGGCGUCGUGCAAUGCCCCCGGAAACGGUGCGGCGAAGAAAUGUGGAUUUGGGACCAGGAGGAACACGAAAAAUCCUGCCAGGGGGUGGUGACACGGUCAUCAUCACGGCGCUGUGGUUUACCCGAAAGUGCCAGCACUAGUCGGGGAGUCACCACCCGCCAGAGCAAGCAAAGGAGAUGCAAGCGCUCUGCCCCGGUCGACAACUGAACGGGGCGCCAUGCUUGCCCUACUUAAAAAAUUCUUCAUUGGUUCCUCUGCUAAGGCGUACCUGAGAUGAGUACAAGAAGGAAGCAAGAUCUUCUAUGCAUUUAAUAAAAGAAUACUCAGCCAUUAUUUUUUUUAUUUGUGUAUGUUAAAAACAUUCUUUUUAUGGCAAUGAGUGUUUUGCGCUAAACUAUGUUUAAAACUUUAUUUCGAGGCUAGUGUCCCUUGCAUUAGUAAAGUGCACUAUCAAUGUAAUGCACAUUGUGUGAAAUGUUGUUCGCGUCCGGAACAUUUGUGAUGUGUGGAAAAAUGUGCUAAAACUGUUUUGUGUAUUGCGGUUCUCCUUUUGUCAGUUUAAUUCCAUUUCAAAACAUUACGUUUAACGUAAUAACGUACUUGCAAAAUUUUUGGGGCUACAAGGAACAAUAUGCCAAGUGUUCGGGCUUUGAAGAGUCGUGGGGUACUAUAAAAGUGCAUUUUUUUUUAUUAAUGACAGUUGUUCAUGUUUCUCUUAAUUUUGUCCUAAAACUGGCAUCUUUCAUUUUUGUAUACUUGAUUUGUGCUUAAUGCACCCAACAUAUUCAGGUUUCGAUUGGUCAUGAUGAACGACUAAAGCACAGCUACGAAUGUUUCAUGUAUGACAAUUUGUGUCUUUUUCAUUUUACUGUAAAACACUGUUUUAAUUGAUAAGAGAAAAUUGUUUCACAUUAAAUGCACAGCAUGCAAUGUCCUGGUUUAUGAACGAAGAUAUACAGACCAAAAUUAUUUGAAUGUGAACGUUUUUUGAGUGAGAUUUUUUUGUACUCCAUUCUCUCUUCGAAUUCUCUUUAUAAUUUUGUUACACGUAAUAUUAAAGCCGCAACGAAAGUGUUUAUGCGUGAUAGUUCUUCAUGUGCAUUCAAUUCUCAUUGUCGAAGCUGCAAAUGUUAACACAAAUGGAUUGCAUCAGUGAUAAUCUUAUUGAAUCUCAUUUUGCAUAUUUUCAUCCUAAACACAUUUUUUAAUGUUGUGCAUUUUGUUACUUUCUGAACACUUAAUGAAAAAUAAUUGUUUUCAGUUUUCUGACCCUUUAUUAGCCCUUAAGACUUUAACAACCACAAUGUUAAAGGUAAAAGAAAAGUCGUGUGUUGGCUAUCUUUUCUGCAAGGCAGCUUUCCAAGUGGUUGCAUUCUGAAAUGGGCAUUUCUAGUAUUGUGUGUGCUAUGUUUUCCAUGCACUUUAGGCAAAAUAAUUGCCCAAUUUUCGUCCCUUGCUAAUGAAGGUGAAUACAACUACCAUACUCUUUCAAAAGAACAAAGGUUGUUUGUCAGUGAUUGUUAUAUGCAUAAGAGUUUAGUUUAUUUUAACAAAUCAACCAAUGGCUGUGAUGAGCUAUUUUUGAGCUGGUAGCGUGAUUUGUAGAGAGAAGAGAAAGCAAUUCUUAGCGGACUUUGAGCACUUAUUGUGAAUUCCAGGCCGCAUGCUGUGCAAUAAUGUUUGGCUCGAGUGUUCUCGGGAGCUUCCGCUACUGACCGGCAGCAUUUUCUGACCAUGCUCAAAAAGUGUUGCAGGGGUCUUUUAAUGAGUGCCAUAUGUAAAAUGUUUAGACCUCGAUUUUUUUUUUUGUGCACAUUUAGUUUUCGCUUAAAAGAAUUGUCUUCCUUUUUUUUUUACCCUUGAAGAGCCCCUGAACCACCCAGAAGUUUAAAUUCAGUUCUGGUGGGGAAGUUGUGCACAAGUGUACAAAAACCAAAGAGCCACGAGAUUUUUUUCAAAAUGGUGCUGUAAUAGCAUUUGAUUAUCGAUGUGCGGCAAUCACUACUUUUGCUCUUUCCUUUGCUACCCUUCAUUUGUAUCCUCUCACAAAGGUGCCUUGCCUGAGCGACCCUCCCAAUACGUGCUGCUCGAAACGCUACUACUGGUUGCUACAUUCUAAUGCCUACAGUCUAUUUUAAAGGUUGCUGCGUAACGAAUACUUGUUACACGUCCAACUGAUACGAGAUCACAUGUGACUAGAUACACGUAGGACAUAGUGCUGCAGCCGGAGGGUUUUCUGGCUUUGUUCGUUGUCCUUCUCACGCUAUCGACAAGUCUCUAGUUUGAUUUGUGCGUCACAUACAUCCCAAGUUAUACAACUAAUAUUGAUUGUAUCAUUCAAUCCAUGUAGGAAAAAUGGUGUCUUUCUGGCACGGUACUCUAGUCCCGAAUGUACGAUAGAAGGGUGCUCUACCUCCCUUCUGGCCGAUGCCUGUAAAAACUCUUGUCAUGAUGUACUGUUCUCAUGGUACGCAACAUCCAAACUUGUAUAACAAGUAAUUUGUGAUAUUAUACGAGACAACCACAUCAUAUUGCUACGAAUCUGGCCCCCAAACAAGUUCUUGGCACAGAUGUAAGUGUACAAGCCAGUAUUACGUGCAUGUGCCACAAACUAAAGCCCAUUAAAAAUGAAGUAUGCGCAUUUCGUCAUGUGAGCACCGUACAACCUCACUUUGUGGAUGAUCCAUUUUGUUGCCAAGUUCCUGCAAGUGUUAUGUAUGACUGUAUCGUUGUGUUGUGAUUUUAUAAAUAAAUGGCUAUUUUCCAGCA